GGCUGAGUGGCUCAGUGCAUACUUAUACGCUAGGCUUGAGACCUAGGGAUCCCCGGUUCGAAUCCUGGCUAGGGCA